AUAUCAAUAAGCGGAGGAAAAGAAACCAACAGGGAUUGCCCUAGUAACGGCGAGUGAAGCGGCAACAGCUCAAAUUUGAAAUCUGGUUCCUUUGGGGCCCGAGUUGUAAUUUGCAGAGGGUGCUUUGGCGUCGGCAGCGGUCUAAGUUCCUUGGAACAGGACAUCACAGAGGGUGAGAAUCCCGUACGUGGUCGCCUGCCUUCGCCGUGUAAAGCCCCUUCGACGAGUCGAGUUGUUUGGGAAUGCAGCUCUAAAUGGGAGGUAAAUUUCUUCUAAAGCUAAAUACCGGCCAGAGACCGAUAGCGCACAAGUAGAGUGAUCGAAAGAUGAAAAGCACUUUGGAAAGAGAGUUCAAACAGUGA
rnacentral:rRNA from 1 species